GCUGGGUUUGGGAAUAUUAAUGCUUUUUAUCUUUGAUUUGGAUUUUUUUUUAAUGUUCAUUCUUCGGUUUUUCAAAUAAUAUGUGGUGGACUUGAUACAUAUAGGAAGUGAAAUUAUGCCCGUUAUAAGAUUUAAAAAAAAAAAAUGGCCGUUGGUGAUGGUUUCCAUGUGCUUAAAUCAGACCAAACAUACUGAAUAUCCUUCGCCUGCCUGCCCCUUUGUAUCUUUGAAUCCGUUUCAUUCUUUCUCAGUAUCUCUUUCUUUGAUCUUUUUAAUUUCAAAACUUAACUAUACUUGCAGAUCAGUUUCUUCUCUAGCUUCACUUUGGAUCUGCAAAGGCGCUUCCUCUCCUUCCCACAUCGACUUGAAGCUGCGUAAGGUUGACUCUGGAGAUGCACAUAUUCAGUUCUUUUAUAUGGAAGUGGUGCAUUGGUUGCUGUGUGGUUGGCAUCAGCAAUUGUCAAUGCUGUGGAUUCUAUGCACAUAUUCAGUUCUUUUAUAUGGAAGUGGUGCAUUGGUUGCUGUGUGGUUGGCAUCAGCAAUUGUCAAUGCUGUGGAUUCUAUUCCUUUGGUGGUCUGUUGUUGCUGAUGGAACUAGCAUUUCUAUUAAGAGGUGUUGGUACUGAGGUGUAUUGGAUGACAAUCUAGAAGCCGUCUGAAGAAGAUGAGGUGAUAUACAGUUUGGAACAUAAGAUGUUGAAUCAAGGGGUGCAGCCCGCAGUUUUGUGUGCAACCAAAAUUUUACUAUUUUUUCGGUUGAUUUAUAAUGAUUUGGGGAGAAUAUACAGGGGAAAAUCAUCACAAAGUAGGAAUUGGGGUAUGCAGCUUUAUCUUUUUGACAAGCAACUAUGGAAAAUGAAGGAUAAUAUCUACUCCUUCAGAGUAUGCAACUUUUGUUAUGGUGGUCAGAGAAUGCAAUCUUUG